UACGAAGGGGGCUAGCGUUGCUCGGAAUCACUGGGCGUAAAGCGCACGUAGGCGGCUUGUUAAGUCAGGGGUGAAAUCCUGGAGCUCAACUCCAGAACUGCCUUUGAUACUGGCGAGCUUGAGUUCGGGAGGGGUGAGUGGAACUGCGAGUGUAGAGGUGAAAUUCGUAGAUAUUCGCAAGAACACCAGUGGCGAAGGCGGCUCACUG
rnacentral:rRNA from 1 species